GGGGUUGUGGCUCAGCGGUAGAGCACUUGCCUACCAUGUAUAAGGCUCUGGGUUUGAUCCUCAGCACCA
rnacentral:tRNA from 1 species